rnacentral:lncRNA from 1 species
ACAAAAUUCAUCGAGCAACAACAAAACCCGACCCUAUUCGAUAAUCGCGAACAACGACAACUCCGAACAACAUCGAAAAUCAACCAACCAAGCCAUCAACAGCUUUGCCAAAACCCAAGACUCUGACCCAACUCUUCUCACACGCAUCUUACACGAUGGCAUGAUGAGGAGGGUUUGAAACUCUUAUAGAAUACGCCUAGAUGUCCUUCCAAAGGUUUGAUUAUGUGAAUUUUGGAUGAAGUAGUAUGAAUUCGUAAACAUUUGGGAAAAUACUAUUGGUUUUCGGAGAUUAUUCCUUUUCCCCAAUCUCCAUUGUCCAACACAUUUGGAAUUUUCUCAACAACAAUCCAAAUUUGUACAAGUUGUUGUUUGAAAACCCUAUCCUAAGCUUGAAUUCAAAUUUUUUCCCUACUGAAAAUCCCAAAAAUACCCCCAAUUUCUCCUAAUCCCACAUCAGUGGAGCUUAAGAGGGGACCCUAAUUUUGUUUCUAUAAAAAGAGCUCACUAUUGAGCCAAGAGAGAGUCGGGAAAAAUUUUGGGAAAGCUGGAAGAGAUAAAGAAUUUGACUCAGAGGACAAGAAAUUUCUUUAGCAGAGCUAUUAGAAAAAGAGAAAGAAAAAUAGUUUUCGAGAGGAAAAGUGAAUUUUUCUUUAGUAAAAUUUUUUUGAGAAAAGGAGUCGACGAGUCAAAUUCUUGCGGUGACUACGAUAAUUUUUGGUGGUGGUCAAGAUCCCGGCAUCAGUUUGUAAUCCCGUUUUGCUGCUCUGAAAGAGGUAAACAUGUUUUUCCAUUUUUUUCCUAUUAUCAUUUUCUUUUCUCUCUUCUUCAUCUCCUUCUGGUAUAGUUAUAAUGUUGCUUGUCUGCUGGGAGUAGCUGUAGAGGCCUCGUCGGCUGUAGGAUUUGCUUGAGCAUGUUGUUGUAGGAUCGCUUUGUAUGAGUUCACUACUCUGUGUUACUGAUGUUACUUAUCUGUGUAUGCUUAAUAACGGAUGGGUUUAUAAUUCAUUAAAUAUUAAUGUCGAUUAGUCGUAAUGUUACAAUAUGAAUUAGCAUAUAUAAAGGUUGUCGAGAUUCUGCCCCUUCUUGUUUAGUUCAUUGUUGAGAUUCGAUGAUUUCUACGGUGAAAAUUUAACUUCCAGUUUGUUUGAUGAGCAUUAAAGAAGAGUUUCUUGAAUUAUUGUUCAUCAUUUAGACCUCGAGUUCGUCUAAAUCUCAUAAUCUAGGGGCAAAUCGGCUUGUAAAACCACUGUAGUGUUGAAAUUUUAUUAAUUCUUAUGCCAGGUUUACACUUGGAUAUUGUAGUCUGACUUGCCAUACCUUCAGCUGAUUGUCUCGUUUAAGUCCUUAAACAUCAAUUUAGUAUGGUGUUUCCUUGGUUGUGAAUGGUUUUCUACCUUUUAAUAUUGUUUUUUAGUCACUAGUAGAACUUUAAUCGAUUGUAUUCACCCGUUGCAAGUUGCCGUCUGAUUCUCUGGACCUUUAAAGUCACUAAAAAUAAUACUUGUGGGUUUACAGUACGGUUGACAAUCUUAUGAAACCUCAACGAUCUUUCCUUUGACCUUUGAAAGUUCAUUUCAAGUUGGUCAAAGAGAAGGUGAGGAGGAGCUUAUAGUAUAUUCCAUCUUGGGGUGGUGAAGCCUAAAUAUCAUUUCUUGUGAAUCCGUGUGCAUACUUACAACUUUUUUGUGCUCAUGUUAGUCUUGGAAACUUGCGUCAUUUGAUAAUUAGUUAUAAGCCGAUUCUGGUCAUCGAACAUGGACAAACUUAUGGUCUUUGAACAUGUGGUUUACCAAAGGGCUAUCUAUGUCAUAUUUUCUCUCUCGUAGAAAUCAAGACUAGGAACGAGACUCGCCCUUAGCAUGGCCUGUUCUCGUUUCCUGAAGGUCUUCUCGCCUAUAACUUUAUUGGACUAUCAAUAAAGAUAAGGCCUUUACUAUUUAAAAACACUUUUAUUAUAUUUCGUGUUGUGGAUAAAUAAGGGGUCCAUUUGGAAGGUUAAUUUUCUGUUUAGAUAAAAUGUGAGGUUAUUGAAGUGUUGGAUAUUUACCCUCCUUUGUUUGAGCCUUGUUCUACGAACUUCUUUUCAUUGGCUAGUCGAUUAUAUUCAGAAAUUGUAUUUAUUCCUUUUUGUUCUAUGUGACAUCAAGCCUAAUUCACUGUUGUAUUCAUAUACUGGAAGUUUAUAUAUUUACACCUGUGGUUUCCAUGUAUGUUACAUAAUGUGAAGUUACCUUUGUUAAACUAACUUUUCAUGCUUUAUAUACAUGAUAAUAUAGUAUUCGUUUAAAUAUUAACUUUAGGACAUAUUAAUUGCUUUAUUCCUUUUCUUUCGCAUGUGGAUACUCUCGAGUCUUACAUGGACUCUUUUCCUUUCGCAUAUCUAUCAUGGGCCAAUGAGGCAUAUCCUUCGAUUCAGGACCCGGAAGAAAGUCUAAAAUGAGUUCCAAGGCAUAAGGAGACAAGGGGUCGAAAGGAGAAGAAUGGGUUAAAAUCCCAUCUUUGAAGCUGCUAAGGGACUUGAAAGUCUCAUUUGUUAUUUUAUUUAUUCUUGUCUUUAUUUAUUUUAUUUAUUUAUUCAUUCAUUUGGUCCUCGAAGCCAAAGUUGUAUUUAAUACAGAUAAAGCAAAACUCGGGCCAAAGGUUCGAAGAAUAGUUUAGGACAUGUUAUAGGUCAAAACCUAAUAUCUAGAUUAGGACAGGUAAAAUUGGGCCGGAAGCCCAAUUAGACUAGGACAGGGUGAUGGAUUUGGUUUAAGAGCCCAAAUUAUUUAUUUCUUCCCCUCUUUACCUUUUUCUACGUUGUUUGCUUGCGAACCUAGUUAAACCUCUAACUAAGUCGCUAAAAAAUUGAUUUUGCAAAAAUUUUCAAAAUACUCCUUAAUCAACUUCUUUUCAACACCAGACUUUUUCUUUUAGAAGUUAGUCAAAAGGAAAUUAUUUUUCAAAAAAUCUGGAUAACUGCAAGUUAGCAGAAAUUUUAGGUGUCUUAAAAACCUUUCUAAAAUGUUGGAAUCGCAUACAUAGAAUUUCAAAACUUAAAUGAUUUUCCUAUUUUGAAUUUUCUAAGUACUUUAUAAAGGUUUUCUUAAUUCUUUUUCAAAUAAAUUAAGUGGCGACUCUGAAAGUCAUAUUUUCGCAAAACAGAAAUGGUCACUCUGCUGGGGAACUUUUAACUAGGUUCUAACCAAAUGUUUGAAUUUAUAUUUUGACUAACUGUUUAAACUAUUUACGUGCUUAAAUGUUUCAAUUCUGUGAAAUUUAACUGUUGCAUUUCAUGGCAUUAUCCUACAUGAUGAUUAUUAAACUGUUUUGGGGUUUCAUGGAUGUCCCAGCUACUGUUGUUCAACUCCAAUUGCAGUGUUGGAAAUAUGAUAUUUUAUUAGCACGUGAGGCGUCUAAUGGUUUUUUCGUAUUUCCAAACCCAAGUCAUCUACUUGGGAACCUGUGUUCAAACCCACUCUAGAAACCCAGGAUAGAGCUAAACCAAAAUCCUUUUAGGCAUAAGCCUAGGAUGACCCAAUACUCGAAGGAGGUAUUGGGCCCAUUAGAAAAUUUGACCUAUGUAUAUUGACCCCGAGUCAAUUGUAGAACUGACGAAAUAUAUAUUUGUUUAAUCCAAUCCAUUAUCCUUUAGGGGUCAGGAGAAGGCUUGCUUUGUUUACUUUCGUGUAAGGAUGCCUCAAUAAUACACCAAUUGAGGGAGGAACUGAAGCAAGUCGAGCAAGAAAUUGAUAGAUUUAGACGGUUGCAUCUAGAGCACAGUUAUACGAAAAUUGCUUGAUCAUCAACAUAUGUCUCCAAUUACAAAAAGAGGACAAAUCUAAGAGGUCGAAGGUCGAUAUAAGAGCAUUCAGGAACUAGUAUUUCCUAUCCCCUGCGUGGGACAUUAUUUUUUUUCUCAUGUUAUUUUUCCUUUCCCUAAAGAUUGUAUCCCUUUUGUGUAACUUUUGUAGGAAUUUAUGCCAUUUAUGUACACCUAUGAAGGUUUUAGGGGGGAUAAUGGAUUGGUUUCAAAUAAUGAUAUACUUUCUUCAAAUACGUUAGGCCAACCCUUGGCUCAAAAGGGUCACCCAACUAGGAUAUGCAUUUUUAUGUGAUAUAACUGUCUUAUGUGUUUAUGUAUGUUUGUUUGAAUCAAAGACAAAUUUAUCCACUAUGCUCUCGUGGAUCAGUUUGGCUAUGACGCAAAUAACACUAUGUGAUUACUUUUUGUCAAAUAUCUUGCAUUACUUAUCACAUAUGGGAACUAACACAUAUGUCUUUGACUUAUUUUACUUUGCAGAUAACAGAAAACUACUCCAUGUUGAAAAAAGCUGGAAGAACAUCCUUACUUCACCUGGUCAAAAGCGUAUAAGAUCUCAUCGCCUAACCAUCAUUCAAAU